CACGCCUAGCUCUGCCCACUGGGGCGUGGCUCAUAGCGCUCUCUGGAAUAAGCGCUUGUUUCAAAUAUGUUUAAGUUAACCUCAUUAUUCUUUGCUCGUAUCGUCGUAUUCCACCCGAUCGAGUUCUCAUCACAUCACACCAGAAACAUGGUAUGCUGUCAUUUGACUUUACAACGUUUAUUUUAGAUUCAUUACAGGGCUCCGGAGUGGCGCCUCGGUGCAAGAGGCGUCCCUACAGUCCCUGGUUCGAAUACAGGCUGUAUGACAUCCGGCCGUGAUUGGGAGUCCCAUAGGGCGGCGCACAAUUGGCCCAGCGUCGUCCGGGGUUUUACGGUCAUUGUAAAUAAGAAUUUGGUUAAAUACAAUUACUCAAAAUGACGGCGCCGAAGCAGACACGACUUUUCACAGGGAAAUAGGCUAAUGUUGGUUGAUGAUUCGGACACGCACUUUGAAAAGCGAUGAUGUCGAGGAUUGGGCAGUGCUUCCUGAAGUUCCAUGACCUUUAGGCAAACGCAAAGACUAAAAGGUCAAGGCCAAUGGACAGCUUUGUAAAGGAUAUGCUGACUGAGUGUAACCUGGCCUUUUUGAUUCCGAAGUUUGAGGAUUGUUCGGGACUUCUCUAUUUGAACCCCGGACUGCUCGGUGAACCUCACUGAACUGGAUCGGGGUCUUCAAGGACCAAAAACUUUGCUUUGCCAGCUGACGAGCAGGCCCAAGAUCUUCUCUUCAAAGUGCAGAUGCACAAGGUGACAUCGUUUUAAGACUUCUGCCAGUGGUCCUCCCACACCAGUCUACAAGAUUGGCAGGAAGACAUUCCGACCCAGCUUCUAAGAGACCAGAAAGUCCUUCAUUGACUUGCAGCCUGUAAAUUUAAAUAGUCGAUAGGGAGAUGGAUGGGGAAAUUAGAUUAUAGCGUUUGUAAGCCUUGAAUGAACAGAACACCAUUCCAAUAUCUGUUAUGCAGAACGGCACACUCCAAGACAUUGUUGUGUAAAUUAACCUAUAGAUACUGUAGGCAGGCCCCUGAGUAUGGUACAGCCCAUUGCGCAUAUGUUAAAUUGCCUACUUAUAACAUGACAACGGCUGUAUUCAUUUUUACAUUUUUAUUAAUUCUAUAAACAUUUUGUAUGUGCUUGGUUGGUCACUUUUAACAUACUUCCAUGGUGUCUUAAUUAAAUACACUUUCAUCUAAAUGUAAAAUGUUAGCAUGAACAGAUACACUGUCGCAUGGAAGGUACGUCAUGAUUAUCAGCCGAAAAGACGAUUCCAACACUUUCUUAAAUAGCUCUGCUUUUAAGAUGCUGAUAAGCUGUUACGUACCAUUUUGUUUGAACAAUAUUAGGAGAAAAAGACAACCAAAUGAAGUUUCAUCAACUGCACAUGAACCAGGUUAGAAGUACCUCAUGGUUUCUGGCAAUUACGCUGUGAUGAUUAUGAUUGAAAGCUGUGAGCUCCUGUUACUCAAUACAUGUAUGUGUGUUCAAAGCACUUCAUCACUGGUAAGUCGGUAACACUUGUUUGUAUCUCACUAGCUAUGUGUAUUGCACAAAGCUUGCUAGUUAGCUUGUAGUAAGGACUAGUGAGCUGUAUCCAAAUAACAGCUAUAAUAUUCUUCUGCAUUUGGAUAUUUAUGCAAACCUGUAGAUUCCACCAUUUCAAAUUUCGCUACAUAAGACCGGAUUAAGCCGGUAGGUCACAUAUAGGCAAAAAUCCUCUUUUCUAAUUACCUAGACCGUUCAAAGGCAGGCAAAGACUAAGUAUUUACGCGACAUAUCUAAGACUAGCGAAUUAGAUUGAGAUGAACUUCUCUCACUAGAGUUGGCAGGUCGGGGAACACAUUAGCGUGGCAGAAUAAGUAUAAUGUAAAUCACGUUGUUGUGACAGACAAGUAUGUACCUCUUAUGGCUGCAUUCCUUGUUCUCAAUUUCCACCUGAAGACAUACCCUAAUCUAACUUCCUGUAGCUCAGCCCCAGAGGCAAGGAUAUGCAUAUUCUUGGUAUCAUUUGAAUGGAAACAUUCUGAAGUUUGUGGAAAUGUUAAUUGAAUGUAGGAGAAUAUAACACAGUAGAUCUGGUGGAAGAAAAGAGAAAGAAAGAGCAUACGUUUUCUGUUUUUUAUUGUAGUAUCAUCUUUCACAUGUACUAGAAUAGCUGGAGAUAAUUUGUAGGUGUGCAAAGUUUCAGACUGAUAACUUCAGGAAUGGGUGAGCUACAUGACAUUUAGCAUGAAGUCACCCAGGUGUCCCACACAAGUUGCCCAAAUGUACCCAAGUGGCCGAAUUGGUGAAAUUACCUAUAACUAUAUACAACAGUGCAAAUAACUAUAUACAACAUAUCAAAAAGCAAUUCUAACAUACACAAAAAAAAUGUUAAAACAUUUAUUUUCUAACAUUUAAAAAAAAAAAAAACAGUACACCCUUUGGAAGUCCUCUACACAAUAUUUUGCUGCCUGUGCCAUGUCCCAUAGCAGUCUCUUUCUGAUGUAAAGCAGAGGCAAACUGAACAAGUGGUGCAGGUCAUGUGACACAGAACACAACGACACCUCCAUGCUGUGCCCUUUUGGCCCUGAGACACAGUUAUGCCUGCAGUAAUGAACUGUGGCAUAUGAACACCACUGGAGGCAGGAGUAGAGGGGGCAGAGAUAGAGCGGGCAGUUUGGCACCGGGGGCUCCCAGUCGGAGUCGCUAUCACUGUGAAAGAAAACAAGAACAAUAUUUGUAUUGUAU
ensembl:lncRNA